AGUGAACGCUGGCGGUAGGCCUAACACAUGCAAGUCGAACGGCAGCACAGUAAGAGCUUGCUCUUACGGGUGGCGAGUGGCGGACGGGUGAGGAAUACAUCGGAAUCUACUUUUUCGUGGGGGAUAACGUAGGGAAACUUACGCUAAUACCGCAUACGACCUACGGGUGAAAGCAGGGGAUCUUCGGACCUUGCGCGAUUGAAUGAGCCGAUGUCGGAUUAGCUAGUUGGCGGGGUAAGGGCCCACCAAGGCGACGAUCCGUAGCUGGUCUGAGAGGAUGAUCAGCCACACUGGAAAUGAGACACGGUCCAGACUCCUACGGGAGGCAGCAGUGGGGAAUAUUGGACAAUGGGCGCAAGCCUGAUCCAGCCAUACCGCGUGGGUGAAGAAGGCCUUCGGGUUGUAAAGCCCUUUUGUUGGGAAAGAAAAGCAGCAGGUUAAUACCCCGCUGUUCUGACGGUACCCAAAGAAUAAGCACCGGCUAACUUCGUG
rnacentral:rRNA from 1 species